rnacentral:rRNA from 1 species
GGCGUAAAGGGCUCGCAGGCGGUUUCUUAAGUCUGAUGUGAAAGCCCCCGGCUCAACCGGGGAGGGUCAUUGGAAACUGGGGAACUUGAGUGCAGAAGAGGAGAGUGGAAUUCCACGUGUAGCGGUGAAAUGCGUAGAGAUGUGGAGGAACACCAGUGGCGAAGGCGACUCUCUGGUCUGUAACUGACGCUGAGGAGCGAAAGCGUGGGGAGCGAACAGGAUUAGAUACCCUGGUAGUCCACGCCGUAAACGAUGAGUGCUAAGUGUUAGGGGGUUUCCGCCCCUUAGUGCUGCAGCUAACGCAUUAAGCACUCCGCCUGGGGAGUACGGUCGCAAGACUGAAACUCAAAGGAAUUGACGGGGGCCCGCACAAGCGGUGGAGCAUGUGGUUUAAUUCGAAGCAACGCGAAGAACCUUACCAGGUCUUGACAUCCUCUGACACUCCUAGAGAUAGGACGUCCCCUUCGGGGGCAGAGUGACAGGUGGUGCAUGGUUGUCGUCAGCUCGUGUCGUGAGAUGUUGGGUUAAGUCCCGCAACGAGCGCAACCCUUGAUCUUAGUUGCCAGCAUUCAGUUGGGCACUCUAAGGUGACUGCCGGUGACAAACCGGAGGAAGGUGGGGAUGACGUCUAAUCAUCAUGCCCCUUAUGACCUGGGCUACACACGUGCUACAAUGGACAGAACAAAGGGUAGCGAAACCGCGAGGUUAAGCCAAUCCCACAAAUCUGUUCUCAGUUCGGAUCGCAGUCUGCAACUCGACUGCGUGAAGCUGGAAUCGC